CCUCUACCCACAAGGCCUGCACGACGGCGCCAGUUAUUCGUGGCUUGAAUGAAUGAAGAGCCCUAGGCCAGUGGCGCCCCGGCGGCAACCACCACAGGCGAAGCACCCCCUUCCCUCAGCCGCCGCGGUGCCCCGGCGUACGCAGGCCAGAGGAGGAAGCGCGCUUUGCCUGCUAGAGGCAGCAGCGGGAAACGCUGGGCGGAGGAGAGGGGAGGGGGCCACAGGCUGCCCGGACGGCGCAAGCGCAUCGCGGCGAGGCGCGCACGCAACCCGCAAUCCGGGGACCCGCGGGCGGCUCGUCCCUUCCCCCACCCCCAGCCGCCGCCGCCGCCCGCGCUUCGCAACAAAGCCGGCUGCGGAGCCAUGGUCCACGGCGCCCGCCCGCGACCCCGCCGCCCCGCAUGGUAGCCGGAACGUCUCUCCCUUACCAGCCUUCGCUUCCUGGUGCCCAGCUCUUAGGACCGUGUGUGACUCUGGCCUUCUACCGAGACAACAGAGAAACGCACAGCAACUCGCAUGGAGGAAUCGGCGAAAUGGCUCCGACCGCGGCGCUAGGGGGCGGGGCCAGCGAGCGGUGUUGAAAGCAGCAGGGGCCUAGAAGACAUUAAACCGAUACCACAGAAAUACAAAGGAUCAUUAGAGACUAUUAUGAACAACUAUAUGCCAACAAAUUGGAAACCAAAUGGAAAUGGAUAAAUUCCUGAACAGAUACAACUUACCAAAAUUGGACCAAGAAGAAAUAGAAAACCUGAAAAGACCAACUAUGAGUAAUGAGAUUAAAUCAGUAAUAUAGAGUCUCCCAUCAAAGAAAAGUCCAGGCCCUGAUGGCUUCACUGCUGAAUUCUACUGAACAGUUAAAGAAGAACUCAUACCAGUUCUCAAACUCAUCCUGUGAGGGCAGCAUUACCCUGAUACCAAAACUAGAUAUGGACACAAGAAAAAAAAUCUAUAGGCCAGUAUCCCUGAUGAACAUAGAUGCAAGAAUCCUCAACAAGACCAGGUGUGGUGGUUCAUGCCUGUAAUCCCAGCACUUUGGGAGGCCAAGGCAGGUGGAUCACCUGAGGUCAGGAAUUUGAGACCAGCCUGGCCAACAUGGCAAAACCCUGUCUGUACUAAAAAUACAAAAAUUAGCCGGGCAAGGUGGCGUGUGCCUGUAAUCCUAGCUACUUGGGAGGCUGAGGCAGGAGAAUUGCUUGAACCUGGAGGGAGGAGGGGCAGAAGUUGCAGCGAGCUCAGAUCGUCCCACUGCACUCCAGCCUGGGUGACAGAGUGAGACUCCAUCUCAAAAUAAGUAAAUAAAUAAAGAGACUCAACUAGCA
rnacentral:lncRNA from 1 species